rnacentral:rRNA from 17 species
CGAAAUAGUUUUAGGACUAGCCUCAGGUUAGAUAUCUGGAGGUAAAGCACUGAAUAGCCUAGCGGCCGAGAGGUUAGCGAAGCUUAUCAAACUCAGAAUGCCAGAAUAUUGAUGCCUGGGAGUCAGACAGUGUCAGAUAAAUGUCAUUGUCAAAAGGGAAACAGCCCAGAUCUACAGCUAAGGUCCCAAAGUCAGGUUAAGUGGAAAACGAUGUGAAGAUACGCAGACAACCAGGAUGUUGGCUCAGAAGCAGCCACACAUUCAAAGAGUGCGUAAUAGCU